ACACGACUACAUUAGAUACCCCGCGUAGUCCUAGCCGUAAACGAUACUCGCUAGGUGUCGGCCACGGUGCGACCGUUGUCGGUGCCGUAGGGAAGCCGUGAAGCGAGCCACCUGGGAAGUACGGCCGCAAGGCUGAAACUUAAAGGAAUUGGCGGGGGAGCACCACAACGGGUGGAGCUUGCGGUUUAAUUGGAUUCAACGCCGGAAAUCUUACCGGGACCGACAGCAACAUGAAGGCCAGGCUGAAGACUUUGCCGGAUUAGCUG
rnacentral:rRNA from 1 species